ensembl:lncRNA CASP4LP caspase 4 like, pseudogene
UGUGUGUGUGUGUGUGUGAUGCAAAAAAUGAAAGCAUUAGAUUGGUAAAUUUAUGUCUCUUUUUUGCUCCAAAUGUCCUCAAUUCCAUAAAACUAGACAAAAUAUGAUUGGCACGAGUUUUCACAUUUCUGAUUGAGAUUCAAAGUCUGGUGAUUGGGAUGCAGCCCCAAGAUUCUCCAUAAAAUUAUAUAGUAAUAAGUGUUAAACAGGAGUACAGUCUUAAAACAAAUAUUGAGUACUAAAUUGGUGACCAAAGCUAUUCCUAGCAUUGGGAGUAGGUCUGUAAAUGAGACAGGAAGUUCCCAGUCGGCAUCCAUCUAGGUUACAGUAGAGAGAAACAGUGAAGUUAUAAGCAAAACGGACAGCUUCAGAGAACAGGUGUGCAUAUAUGUGUGUCUACAUAAGAGUGACAAGAAAGCCAAGAGUAAGAAAAAAGAAAAAGGAAACAUGACAGAGAAUUGUAGGGUAAGGAAAAAUGUUCUUGGGUUGGCUGAAAAAGCCUCCGUGGGGAGAUAACACAGGGGUUGGACUGGACUACCAGAAGGAGACAACCUUGGAGAGACAUGAAUGCAGUGCCUUCAAAGUACGAGAAGCUACCUGUGAAAGAGCUGAGCUGAAAAUGAAACUGGCACAUGAGAAGCACAAAGAGAAGACCAGUAUGACUCAAGUUUGGAGGAGAAGGGACAUAGUAUGUGGGUGGAGUAUGGUCAGACCAGAAGUUUGAUUUGAUUCUAAGCAAACUGGGAUGGGUUUUACAAAGAAAGUGGUGUGAUGCAUUUAUAACACAUGACUCUUGGUAGGUAAGGAGAAAGAUUGAGAUGGAAAAGAAAAAGGGAAAUGAGUAACAUAUAAAAAUAUACAAUAUAUAAAGAAGACGGUGUGUCAGCCAGAGAAGAAAAUGGCAACCCAUAGCCCCAUUAAGAAGGAAAUAUGAAACCAUAAAACAGCUGUCAUCACUGAGUAAGCACUAUGUGAAGCGCCAUGACCCAGAUGUUACAUAUGUUUCUUGUUUCGCUCAUGGUAAAUCUAGGAGGCCCCAUUAAUUGUGAUGCUUCUCCGACUAAAGUUAGACAUUGCUCUUUUCCAGAAUAUGAAGUCAUUGCUGUGGGCAUUUGCUGCCUGACCAGAGCACAAGUCCUCCGACAGCACGUUCUUGGUGCUCAUGUCUCAUGGCAUCCUGGGGGGAAUGUGUGGAACUGAACAUGAUGAGGCAAACCCAGAUGGGCUGCUUUCCUUCAGGCCAAAGCUGAAGGAACACUUGAAGCCAGGAUUUUGAGACCAAUUGAUUCAUAGCUCUUGGGAGCUAUUUUUCAAAUGAAAGAGAAAACAGAAAUAAUUUUUCUAAAAACUGGUAACUACAAGAUGAUUUCAUUAUCACUAGGCACACUGUUGAAUGACACUUGAGAGAAAACAAAGUGGUAUGUAUGUGUGUGUGUGUGUGUGUUUGUGUGUGUGUGUCUGUGUGUUUGUAUGUGUAUGGGUCUAUGUGUAUGAAACUAGUUAGAAAGAACAUUAAAAAAGAACAAGGGGAUUCUGAUAGCCAUACUGUAGGAGGCACAGUAGUGUGUAGAAAAUUGUUGUCUCUGCAGCAAACCAUGGGGAACAGUGGGUCAGAGACUGUCCAGCAUCUUUGGGAGUCAUGUCUUCACAGUCACCUAAGAACCUGGAGGAUGCAGUUUGCAAGACAUACCAGAGAAGGACUUCAUUGUUUUCUGCUCUUCAACCUCAUGUAUACGUCUUUUGGUGGUAUUAAGUGAUUUGUGGGCCUGAGGCUACCUUUGAAUGAUUCUACCAAAUCAAGAAUCCCUAAGAAACAAUGAUCCGAGGGAAUGUUGUGUGCUCUCCCAUAUUUUACAUGAUCUUAGAUGUGAUGUGAAAACAGAUUCCUUCCCCCUCCCACACCCACGUUUUUAAAAAUUGUACUUUUCUUAUAAGUGUUACAAUUUAAAGCCAAAGGCAUACCAAAUAUUAAAGCAACACAACAUAAGGAAUCCCAUUCACCACACACCAUUUAAACACAAAUGAUGGAUUCUGUUAUUUAUCAAACCCAUUUAAUGUUUUGUGUAGUGUUUUCAUGGAUUCCAGGAAUGGCUUCCCUUUCUCAAAUGAUCAAUUUCAAGUCUUAUUCUCCAUAUUUCCCAUCUGAUUCCACUAUGAGCAGUGCCAUUGCAUGCCCUACUAGAACUGUGGAUACCCUUUAAAACAAGUAGAAGAUGAUAGGGUGGGACUCAUUACGUCUAAUCUUGGGGAACACUGGUUAGUAUUUCACUUCUAGGUAAUUAUCUUAAGGAGUAUACAUUUAACCAUUUUUAAUUUGUAUAUUUUUAAGUCUUAUUUUUUAAAACCAGUUUACUGAGGUAUGAUUGACAUAUAUAAUGUUACAUAUAUAAUGUAUACAACUUAAUGAGUUACAGAUAAGUAUGCACUCCUGAAAUCGUCACCACAAUCUGUGCCACAAAUAUAUCUCUCUCCUCCAAAAGAUCCUUCCACUUCUCUGUUUAUUAUUAUAAUUCCACGAGUGCAUGUGAAAAUAACACUUAACAUAAAAUCUACCCUCUUAGCAUAUUUUAAGUUUACAAUACAGUAUUGGUUACUAUUGGCACCAUCCUGUACAGUAGAUUUUUAUCACUUUUUUCAUCUUCUAUCACUGAAACUUGGUGUGUGUUCAUCUAUUUUGUUUAUUAUAUGGUGAAAGACAGCAUGGCAUAAUCUGCAAACAACUUGGGAGCCUAGUGGCCAUUUUUUGUUGCUUACUCACUGUGGUAAUAUGAGGGAGUUUCUUCAUCUUUUGGAGCCUCUAUUCCUUCCUCUGUAAAGUGGGAUAAUUCCAGUUAUUUCUCAAGCCCCUAUAAAAGCCAAGAGAAUAAACACAAUGUUUGUAGUAGAAAGUCAGUCCCAAGAAUCAAAAUACAAUCACUACACAAUCUCUUGCAAUGCUUACAAACUGCACCUUUUGAUCAACUGUUGCUAGGUUUUUUGUUGACUUUAUGCGGAAAGUGGUUAAAUGUAAGGUUGUAAACAUGUCGUCUAAAUCUGUAAAGAUAAUUCCCAAGCUAUGCUUUUAUUAAAAAAAAAUCCUCAAAACAAAAAUGUAAACAAAAAAUAGUGAAGGUCAUAGCCCAAGGCAUACCCAUCUGUAUCAUCAUAGAUAACGUGUCCAGGAGAGACAGCACAAGGGGCUCCAUCUUCAUCACACAACUCAUCGCAUGCUUCCAGAGAUAUUCCUGGCGCUGCCACCUAGAGGAAGUAUUUUGGAAGGUUCAGCAAGCAUUUGAAAGUCCGGAGGCAACAGUCCAAAUGCCCACCAUAGAACGAGUGUCCAUGACAAGAUAUUUCUACCUCUUUCCUGGCAAUUGAAAAUGGUUAAGCAUUGAGAGUUGUUGGUGGUGUAUGAAAUAAAUGAAAGUGUGAUAUUGGAGCAGGAAACCACAAGCAGCCCAGCCCUCCUUUAUCAACUUCAAGAAACACCUUUACUAGUACAGAUUGAAUGCUUAACAUUUUGUAUUUCAAUAAAGGUGAAGACAAAUGAA